rnacentral:siRNA from 1 species
CUUAGGUGACUUUUCAAGGGUCA